CUUUGAUCUUCUUUCCAUUUUUUAUGAAUCAUCCAACUGGCCAACCAAAAUAAAACCAAACAAACGUACCCCAAUCAAAAUGCAAUCACGUGCCCUUCCUAUUGCCCGUCCAUCUCCUUUCAAUAUCCAAAAUUUCCAUAAACAAAAUCUUCAUCUUGAGAGAGACAAUAGUGAUGGAUCCGCCACAGGUAGAGGCCAUGGAUAUCUCAAGCAAAAACUAUCCCCCAAUUGAAGAUGAGCAGGACAAAAGAAUCGACCAAUGUUGUUCUUGCUUUUGCGACUGUACUGAUACCCUUUUGGAGUACUUGUGCUGCACUGAUUUCUGGUGUUCUUAGGGAUACAUAUUACAACUAUUAGAAGUACUCCGUACUUUAGUUUUUCCAAAAGGGAAGUUUUUAGAUGAACUUAUUAUGUUCGUUCACUUUUGGUUAGCAUGAUUUUUCACUGCAUUAGUCUAUCUAAAUCAAAGUUAUUCACUCCU